rnacentral:rRNA from 1 species
GACGAACGCUGGCGGCGUGCUUAACACAUGCAAGUCGAACGGAAAGGCCCUGCUUUUGUGGGGUGCUCGAGUGGCGAACGGGUGAGUAACACGUGAGUAACCUGCCCUUGACUUUGGGAUAACUUCAGGAAACUGGGGCUAAUGCCGGAUAGGAGCUCCUGCUGCAUGGUGGGGGUUGGAAAGUUUCGGCGGUUGGGGAUGGACGCGCGGCUUAUCAGCUUGUUGGUGGGGUAGUGGCUUACCAAGGCUGUGACGGGUAGCCGGCCUGAGAGGGUGACCGGCCACAUUGGGACUGAGAUACGGCCCAGACUCCUACGGGAGGCAGCAGUGGGGAAUAUUGCACAAUGGGCGGAAGCCUGAUGCAGCAACGCCGCGUGCGGGAUGACGGCCUUCGGGUUGUAAACCGCUUUCGCCUGUGACGAAGCGUGAGUGACGGUAAUGGGUAAAGAAGCACCGGCUAACUACGUG